CGCUGGMGGCGUGCUUAACACAWGCAAGUMGAACGWGAUCCAGAGCUUGCUCUGGUGAAAGUGGCGCACGGGUGAGUAACGCGUGGAUAACCUGCCCUGGUAUCUGGGAUAACAUCUCGAAAGGGGUGSUAAURCCGGAUAAGCCUACGGACUCCUCGGAGUCUGCAGGAAAAGGAGGCCUCUAUUUAUAAGCUUCCGUAUCAUGAUGGGUCCGCGUACCAUUAGCUAGUUGGUGGGGUAAUGGCCUACCAAGGCGACGAUGGUUAGCUGGUCUGAGAGGAUGAUCAGCCACACUGGAACUGAGACACGGUCCAGACUCCUACGGGAGGCAGCAGUGGGGAAUUUUGCGCAAUGGGGGAAACCCUGACGCAGCAACGCCGCGUGAGUGAUGAAGGCUUUCGGGUCGUAAAGCUCUGUCAGAGGGGAAGAAAUGAAACGUGCUAAUAUCACGUUUUCUUGACGGUACCCUCAAAGGAAGCACCGGCUAACUCCGUGCCAGCAGCCGCGGUAAUACAAGGGYGAMY
rnacentral:rRNA from 1 species